rnacentral:rRNA from 1 species
GGCAAAAGAGAGCUUGAUUGCAAGACAUACAGGUCGAGCAAGGCAGAAAACCGGACUUAGUGAUCCGGGGGUGCUGCGUAGAGUCGCCAUCGCCCAACGGAUAAAAGCUACCCUGGGGAUAACAGGCUUAUCUCCCCCAAGAGUCCACAUCGACGGGGAGGUUUGGCACCUCGAUGUCGGCUCAUCACAUCCUGGGGCUGUAGUAGGUCCCAAGGGUUGGGCUGUUCGCCCAUUAAAGUGGUACGCGAGCUGGGUUCAGAACGUCGUGAGACAGUUCGGUCCCUAUCCGUCGCAGGCGUAGGAAAUUUGAGAAGACCUGUCCUUAGUACGAGAGGACCGGGAUGGACGUACCUCUGGUGUACCAGUUGUUCUGCCAAGGGCAUGGCUGGGUAGCUAUGUACGGAAUGGAUAAGCGCUGAAAGCAUCUAAGCGCGAAGCCAACUUCAAGAUAAGAUUUCCCACCGCAAGGGUAAGACCCCAGAAAGACUAUCUGGUUGAUAGGUCGAAGGUGUAAGUGCAGCAAUGUAUUUAGCUUAUCGAUACUAAUAGGUCGAGGACUUGACCAAU